AUGGCUUGACCCUUGAUUGUACUAGUGAGUUCCAAAUUCUUUCCUGCUUCUCUUUCAACCUUAGUUUCUCUCAUGGAUUAGAUACCAUUUUUUUUUUCCCCAAAAGGUCCAUAUUGAGGAAACUGGAUGAAACGGGAUGAUUGGAUAUCUAGCUAAGUGGUUCCAAGACACACUGGGCCAAAAAGAAGGGUGAAGUUGAAAUAGAGAAGUGCCAAGUAGGUUGUUCACUCCAUUGAGAAAGCCCAGAAAGCAAAGAUCAAGACAUACUGAAAAGUUGAAGUGGGGAGUUGGAGCCCAGGUGGAAAAGAUGCAGCUAGCUGGGUUGCAGUUGCAGAUAUGAACUCCUUCAUGCAGAGAGUGGAAUAAAGAACAACACAUUGUGGAGGAUGAUAAGUUUCAACAGAACCCAGGGGCCUCAGCUUCAGUUCCAGAUAUUAUCCUGGUUUGUGUGACCUGAGAGAGUCUCUCAACCUCUCUGGCCCUCAGUGUUCUACAAUGUAAAGAUAAAUGUUGGGAUUGAAGUUCUUGUUUCCAAAGCAAUAUACAUAAUCAAAUUAAUUUCCUGCUUGACAUAUCCUUCAUUUGCCUGCUGUCCAAGAGAAGAGAACACUUAUGAGGUUAAGGCAUAUAUGCAAACAUCAAAAGUAAAAUUAUCCCAUUUGUACAUGUUUCAAGUUACACCUCUGUCUGUGAGUGAACCUUGCUCUAAACCAAUGGUUUGGAAUUAAAGUAGAGACUGCUAAAAGCUCAGUUCAUCAGAAAUGAUUCCAAACAGAGGAAACUUGAUGUAGGCAGAGGAAAUGAAGAACGGUGGUAAAAUUUAACAAAUAUCUAACGAGUUACUUCUAGUCCUCUGGGUCAGGAAGUAACCAAACACAGCAUUGUUGGGAGUCCCAUGAUGCCCGGUCAUGCUUUCAGCUGGCAGGAGAAGUUGGCAUCAGUGGUUGCCCGCAUUCAAGCCCUUUCCAGAAUGGUAGCCCUGUGAUUUGCUUUAGUCAGGGUUGCUAUUCUUGCUGGGGUAGCUAUGGCUGUGAUAGAAAGGUAAUAAACCCACCAAGAAAGGCUCAUUUGUGUUGGCUGGCUACAGCAUAGAAUUUGAGAACAAUAGGUGGGAUAAUAACGUGGUGUUUAGAAGCGGUUUUGCUUUGACCUGGGUAUCAUUCAUAGGUUGAACAGAAAGCUAUUUUCACUGGUAGUUAAACAUUUGGCAAUUGCUGAUCAGUAACAAUGUACUGGAUGUCCUACUAAAGUAGCAUGGUCCAGUGGGCAGAACAUCGAUUGAACUAGAAUGUAAAAAUAUUUGUACUUAAGUGUGUCUGUUUUGCUAUUGAUUGUUCUUGUGGCUUGGACUCAUUCAGCAACACCUUGACAUGUGUAUGCGUGUGUCCGUAUUGGUUUGCUUUGGGUGCAGAGAAGGAAAACAGUGUGUCCUUGGUGAGAAACAUUUAAACAUUUAAAGGAAUAAAACCAGAAUGCUAAUAAAAAACCAGAAAAGAAUCAAACUAUGAAGAAUGAUAUGAGAAAGAUGAAUGUCAGCAUUUGUUUAUGUGAAC